rnacentral:sRNA from 1 species
AAGCCCGCGAGAAGAACAACAAACAGGGACAGGGUAUAGGUCCAUAAAAGUUCCGGGUCAAGGAUAAUAAUGACUUGCGGUACUCCCAAUAAAUCUCCGGCAUCCCGUUUAUCCAUCUGAGGUCCGAGAGUCUUUCAAUGCCUUUGACGCCUUACUAGCCGCUCUGUUCAGGAUGAGUCCAGGUUUCCUUCAAGGCUUCCUUUGACUUUCCGAACUGACAGAAGAAUCGCACGCACCACCUGGGGCUCACUGUGGCCUGAGUAGGACGCAGGGGUGAAUGUUUACCUAGGUACUCGAUGCUUUCGAACCUUGCAUCUUCAGAGUUGCAAUAGGUAAAGCGCUGAGAGAUAGGGAAGUGGGUGCUUGCUUCGCUCAAUCCAUGACCAUUGAACCCUCGUCGCGGAAAUUAUAUUUGAAGAAAAC